rnacentral:rRNA from 1 species
ACGGGAGCAGCAGUGGGGGAUAUUGCACAAUGGGGGAAACCCUGAUGCAGCGACGCCGCGUGGGUGAUGAAGUAUUUCGGUAUGUAAAGCUCUAUCAGCAGGGAAGAAAAUGACGGUACCUGACUAAGAAGCACCGGCUAAAUACGUGCCAGCAGCCGCGGUAAUACGUAUGGUGCAAGCGUUAUCCGGAUUUACUGGGUGUAAAGGGAGCGCAGACGGCAUAGCAAGCCAGAUGUGAAAGGUGGGGGCUCAACCCCCAAGCUGCAUUUGGAACUGUUAAGCUAGAGUAUCGGAGAGGUAAGUGGAAUUCCUAGUGUAGCGGUGAAAUGCGUAGAUAUUAGGAGGAACACCAGUGGCGAAGGCGGCUUACUGGACGAUAACUGACGUUGAGGCUCGAAAGCGUGGGGAGCAAACAGGAUUAGAUACCCUGGUA